rnacentral:rRNA from 1 species
AACGAACGCUGGCGGCGUGUUUAAGACAUGCAAGUCGCACGGGAUAAGACAUGUAGUAAUACUUGUUUUAUUUAGUGGCGCACGGGUGAGUAACACGUGAAUUACAUGCCCUAUAGUGGGGAAUAGCCCAGGGAAACUUGGAUUAAUACCCCAUGGUAUCGAAAGAUUAAAGGUGGCCGCAAGGCUGUCGCUAUAGGAUUGGUUCGCGCCCUAUCAGCUUGUUGGUGAGGUAACGGCUCACCAAGGCAAUGACGGGUACCUGGUCUGAGAGGACGAUCAGGUACACUGGAACUGAGACACGGUCCAGACACCUACGGGUGGCAGCAGUCGAGAAUAAUUCACAAUGGGGGCAACCCUGAUGGUGCAACGCCGCGUGGAGGAUGACGGUCUUCGGAUUGUAAACUCCUGUCAUCCGGGAGAAAGACCUGACGGUAAAUAGCCGGCAGGGUUGAUAGUACCAGAAGAGGAAGGGACGGCUAACUUCGUGCCAGCAGCCGCAGUAA